UCCUACGGGAGGCAGCAGUAGGGAAUCUUCCACAAUGGACGAAAGUCUGAUGGAGCAACGCCGCGUGAGUGAAGAAGGGUUUCGGCUCGUAAAGCUCUGUUGGUAGGGAAGAAAGAUAGAGGUAGGAACUAGCCUUUAUUUGACGGUAAUUACUUAGAAAGUCACGGCUAAAUACGUGCCAGCAGCCGCGGUAAUACGUAGGUGGCAAGCGGUGUCCGGAUUUAUUGGGCGUAAAGCGAGUGCAGGCGGGUCAAAUA
rnacentral:rRNA from 1 species